rnacentral:rRNA from 1 species
UACAGAGGGGGCAAGCGUUGUUCGGAAUUACUGGGCGUAAAGGGCGCGUAGGCGGCCUGUUAAGUCGAACGUGAAAUCCCCGGGCUCAACCCGGGAACUGCGUCCGAUACUGGCAGGCUUGAAUCCGGGAGAGGGAUGCGGAAUUCCAGGUGUAGCGGUGAAAUGCGUAGAUAUCGAGAGGAACACCGAUGGCGAAGGCAGCCCCCUGGGUUAACACUGACGCUCAGGCACGAAAGCGUGGGGAGCAAACAGG